GAUGAACGCUAGCGAUAGGCUUAACACAUGCAAGUCGAGGGGUAACGUGUUGGAAGCUUGCUUCCGAUGACGACGACCGGCGGAUGGGUGCGUAACGCGUAUGCAACUUGCCUCACAGUGGAGAAUAACCCGGAGAAAUCCGGACUAAUACUCCAUACACUCUUAAGUACGCCUGUACAUGAGAGGAAAGAUUUAUCGCUGUGAGAUAGGCAUGCGUCCUAUUAGGUAGUUGGUGAGGUAACGGCUCACCAAGCCGACGAUAGGUAGGGGUGCUGAGAGGCAGAUCCCCCACAUUGGGACUGAGACACGGCCAAAACUCCUACGGGAGGCAGCAGUGAGGAAUAUUGGUCAAUGGAGGAAACUCUGAACCAGCCAAGUCGCGUGAAGGAAGAAUGUCCUAAGGAUUGUAAACUUCUUUAGCGAGCGAGUAAGGACUUCCACGUGAUGGGAGUUUGAAAGGAGCUCGAGAAUAAGUAUCGGCUAACUCCG
rnacentral:rRNA from 1 species